rnacentral:lncRNA from 1 species
UCGGUGGUUAUUCUUGCUACUUCUGCUCUCACUUACUGUGUCUUGACAGCUGGUCCUGAAAUAGUAAAGUAUGAUGGACAUCUUGUUACUGUUGAGAGUCUGCCCAUUCUACAAGGACAUGAGCCUGCUGCUACUGCUAAGGGAGUUCACAAGCAAGAUGUGCAGAAGUGAAGGGGUUGAAGAAGAGAUGCAUCUUGUUUGACUAUCAGUUCUUUUCCAGCACCAUGUUAUGUAUGUCUCUUGAAAUGACUGUAUAUGGCCUGCCACCUAUAUAUGUCUUGUCUAUGAUCUGCCACCUAUAUAUGACUGUAUGAUCUGCCACCUUUAUAUAUGAUAUGACUUAGUAGUGUUACUAGAUGUUCUUUGAUGGCAAUGCAAGAUAUCUGUGAUGUUGCUGGCAUGGUAUGUUGUUCUUUCAGUGUAGAACUUUAGUAUUAUUACUGGAUGAUCUGUGAAGGCGACAUGGUGUGUUAUCCUUUGAAAAUGAGUCUUAUUCAUUGCUGCUGCUUAAGAAUGUCAG